rnacentral:rRNA from 1 species
AUUUUUGCCGAAUUCCUUUUUAUUAAUUUUAAUUAAUUUUAUUUUAUUUUUUUUUUCUUAUAUACUAAUUUUAUCAUUAUAACUAAUUUUUUAUUAUUAAAAAUUAUUUUUUUAUAUAAAUUUAAAUAUAAAUUUAAAUUUUAAAAUAAAUAAAAUUAUUUAUAAAAAAUUAUAAUUUAUAAAAAAUAUAAAUUUUAAAAUAUUUAAAUAAUUUAUUAAUAUUAUAAAAAUUUAAUUUAAAGCUUAUCCCUUAAAAUAUUUAAUUAAAUAUAUAAUUUUAUAUAACAAAUUUAAAAAAUUAUUAAAUUAAUUUAAAAUUAAAUUUUUUUCUAAAAAAACUAGAUAUUUUUAAAAACGAUUAACAUUUCAUUUCAAAUUAAUUAUUUAAAAUAAUUAUGUAACAUUAACUUUAAUAAUUAACUAUCUCUUUUAAAUUCGAGAUAUUUUUAUUUAAAAAUAUUUUAUUAAUAAACUCUGAUACACAAGAUACAAUAAAUUAAAUUUACUUAAAUAAUAAUCCAUAUUUAACUUUAUUUCAAAAUUCUUUCACAAUACUAUUAAACUAUAAAUUAAUAAAUUUUUUCUAAAAAAUACUUUAACCCCCAUUAAUUAUUUUUUAUAAUUAUUUUUAUUAUUUAUUUUAUUUAUUAAUUUUCCCCCA